GUCCUACGGGUGGCAGCAGUGGGGAAUAUUGCACAAUGGGCGCAAGCCUGAUGCAGCGACGCCGCGUGGGGGAUGACGGCCUUCGGGUUGUAAACCUCUUUCAGUAUCGGCGAAGCUCCAGGGUUUUCUUUGGGGUGACGGUAGGUACAGAAGAAGCACCGGCCAACUACGUGCCAGCAGCCGCGGUAAUACGUAGGGUGCGAGCGUUGUCCGGAAUUACUGGGCGUAAAGAGCUCGUAGGUGGUUUGUCGCGUUGUCCGUGAAAACUCACAGCUUAACUGUGGGCGUGCGGGCGAUACGGGCAGACUGGAGUACUGUAGGGGAGACUGGAAUUCCUGGUGUAGCGGUGGAAUGCGCAGAUAUCAGGAGGAACACCGGUGGCGAAGGCGGGUCUCUGGGCAGUAACUGACGCUGAGGAGCGAAAGCGUGGGGAGCGAACAGGAUUAGAUACCCCAGUAGUCG
rnacentral:rRNA from 1 species